UAUAUAUUUAUUUAUUUAUAUAUAUGUAUAUAUAUGUUUUGUAUUACACUGAUACAAGUUCUAUUGCUGCUAGUUAGAUACUACUAACUCCUGUGAGAGGAAGUGGAUAGUUAUAACUCUUACUCUCUUUUGCUGUUAGCCAUCUCCUUGGCUUCUUGUCUCCAAGUUAGUUGUAAAAUUUUUGUCACAUCGGCAACUAAUGCUUGUAAAUUUGUCUUGUAAUGAUAUGGUGGUGUUGACAUGCUUCUUUCUGAUCACAUCUAUAUUACAAGCUUCCUUCCAGAUUCUCUUGCUAUUGUCUUUGCGAGUCCGAAAUGUGCCACCUGAUGAACUUCUUUGGAAAUGUUGUAGACUACCACCUGAUGAACUUCUUUGGAAAUGUUGUAGACUAUGUUUUGAUCAUAGAUUAUGCUUCAAUCAAUCUUUUUUUUAUAUUCUGUCAUAAAUUGUUCAAAGGAUGGGCUUAUUAUGUUUUGAUCUAGAAUUUGAGAUUUCUUGUACAAUUAUUUAUUUAUUUAUCAGAUAUGCAUCAUGCUAGAGGCUGAAUUAUUUGCAUUGCUUUCUUUUGUGAGAAAUGGUAUUGAAUCUUGUAUACUUUGCAUUUAAUUUUGUUGCUGACUGGUUAUGCCUCUGUUCUGUAGUUAUAUGUUUUUUCGUCGAAACUGAAAUUUUCUUUGUGCAAUUUUAG
rnacentral:lncRNA from 1 species